UCGUGAGGGUUUUAGGUGCCUGCCGGCAGCCACUCAAAUGCCAAACGGUAUCCAUCAGUUUCAGAGAACGGGACGAAAUCAAAAAUAACCACAAAUAAUGAAGACAGUGACUACAUGGCCCUCUGUCCUGACAACUCAGUGGGAACACUGAAGGUGUAACUCUUCGAUCUGGCUACAUCAGCAGUGUGAUGAAAAGCACCAGCUUUCUCUCACCUCUCACAGAGCUUCCAGUCCAGUGAGGUCCCCCAAACCUCUCUCUGCAAGGACUACUGCAUCUCCUAAGUGUUCUCUGCUCCAUACAACCCUUGGCUUCCAGGAAUGAUUUCCAGAAGAUUCCAGUUACAGUGCACUAUCUGGGAGGAGUAUCACAUUGUCCUGUUAUCGUCCAUUUCGAACGAUCAGUUUGUUGGCUGAAAUAGCAUCUCUCUUGGCAGAGAUCACAGGAUCAGAGACAGUGAGAUGUGAGGCCAGCUCCCUCCAGAAGCUUGUGCUCAGUUCUGGAGGAUCCCACCACGGGAAGAUUGGGGGAGUUUUGCAAUUUUUUUGGUUUCAUUUUGUAUUUAUAAUUUAAAAAAUGUUGAAUUGCGGUAAAAUACACAAAGCAUAAAGUUUACCAUAUUAGCCAUUUUAAGCAUGUAGUUCAGUAGCAAUAUGGUACAUUCCCACUGUGGUGUAACCAAUCUCCAGAACUUUUUUGUCUUGCAAAACUGAACCUCUGUAAACAUUAAACAACAACUUUCUGUUCUCCCUCUUCCCCCCCCCCCCCCCCCCGGCCCCACCACAGCUCUGGCAACCAGCAUUCUGCUUUCUGUUUCUAUGAAUCUGACUAGUCACGUAAGGGAAAUCGUACAGUAUUUGUCCUUUUGGGAUUGACUUAUUUCACUUAGCAUAUGUCCUCAAGGGUCUCUCAUGUAGCGUGUGUCAGAUUUUCCUUCCUUUUUAAGGUUUGUUAAUAUUCCACUAUAACAUUAUAUAUGUUUAUAUGAAUAUAUAAUAUUCCAUGUGUUUAUACCA